UUAAAGGAUGAGAGAGGGAGGGGUCUGACUGGAUGGGUCCUUAAAAAAGGAGAGCAGGAAGCGGUAGAACUCAACUCACAAACAGAGCGCUGACAUGACCAGACUGCAGGAGACUAUCACCAUGGCGAUGUUGACCCUUCUACUGCUUCUCAGCGCUGCCUUUACACUGGGCGACAUAAUGACUGCGAACAUAGCAAAUGAUUUGGUGAAAUUUGCAGCAGACAAAAGAAACCCAUGCCCCAGAGGCUGGUUCCAAUUUAAUUCACGCUGCUUCAUGUUUGUCAAAACUGCAAUGACAUGGCCCAAAGCAGAGGUAUAAUGCUUACCCUCUACAAUUGAA